ensembl:snoRNA
GUGGCCCUGAAUCAAGGCCAGCAGUUUGCUGAAGUUGCUGGUUUCAAACAGGAGCCUAAAGUGAAGUCUUUCUAUGGUCUGUUGGCCAUUUCAGAACUUUGGAAAUGUAAUGGUCAAUUCAUUAGAAAGAAACAGCU